UACUAAGAGGUACUCUAGAUACAGCAGGUGUUGAUAAGAGAAGACAAUCAAGAUCUAAAUACGGUGCGAAGAGACCUAAAGAAGCUAAAAAGUAAAAACAAUUAAUGAUUGAUUAUAGUUCGGUGCUUUAAAUAUAUAUAUAUUUACGGCAUCACGGCAUUAAAUGAUUUAUGUCGAGUACCUAUGAUUUAAGUUAAAUAAUUAAGGAGGGAAGCGAAAUGCCAAGAAAAGGUAAUAUUCCAAAAAGAGAAGUUUUACCAGAUCCUAUGUAUGGGAGUAAGGUAGUUACUAAAUUAAUAAAUAAUCUAAUGGUAGACGGAAAAAAAGGAAAGUCUCAAAGAAUAGUUUAUGAUGCUUUCGCAAUUGUUGCUGAAAAGACAGGAGAAGAAGCUUUAGAAGUAUUUAAUAAAGCAAUGGAUAAUAUAAUGCCUGUUUUAGAAGUAAAAGCAAGAAGAGUUGGUGGGGCAAACUACCAAGUGCCAAUCGAAGUUAGACCUGAAAGAAGACAAACAUUAGGUUUAAGAUGGCUAGUAAAAUAUACUAGAGCUCGUGGAGAAAAAGGAAUGGUUGAAAAGCUAGCUAAAGAGAUAAUGGACGCAGCUAACAACACUGGAGCUUCAGUUAAGAAAAAAGAAGAUACUCAUAAAAUGGCAGAAGCUAAUAAAGCAUUUGCUCAUUACAGAUGGUAGGAUAUAUAGAUAUCUUAUAAAAUUGAGGAUAUCAUAAGGAGGAUAACCAUGGCUAGAAAGUUUCCUUUGGAAAGAACUAGGAAUAUAGGAAUCAUGGCUCAUAUAGAUGCAGGAAAAACUACUACUACAGAAAGAAUCCUGUUUUAUACUGGGCAAACUCAUAAAAUAGGAGAAACUCAUGAAGGAGCUUCUCAAAUGGACUGGAUGGAGCAAGAAAAGGAAAGAGGUAUAACAAUAACUUCUGCCGCUACUACUGCUUCAUGGAAAGACCAUAGAAUAAAUAUAAUAGAUACUCCUGGACACGUGGACUUCACAGUUGAAGUUGAAAGAUCUCUAAGAGUUCUUGACGGUUCAGUUGCUGUAUUCUGUGCAAAAGGUGGGGUUGAGCCUCAAUCAGAAAAUGUAUGGAGACAAGCUGAAACUUAUGGAGUACCUAGAAUAGCUUUUGUAAAUAAAAUGGAUAUAUUAGGUGCAGAUUUCUACAAUGUUGUAAGCAUGAUGAAAUCUAGAUUAAAUUCUAAUGCAGUUCCUAUGCAAUUACCAAUAGGUAAAGAAGAUUCAUUUAUAGGGAUAAUAGACUUAUUAAAAAUGGAUGCUGUUAUAUACAAAGACGACCUAGGGGUUGAAAUGGAAGAAACAGAUAUACCAGAAGAUAUGAAAGAAUUAGCUGCUGAGUGGAGAGAAAAAUUAGUUGAAUCAGUAGCUGAAACUGAUGAAGAAUUAAUGAUGAAAUACCUUGAAGGUGAAGAACUUACUAUAGAUGAAUUAAAAGUUGCUAUAAGAAAAGCUACUAUAGCUUGUGAAAUGAACCCAGUUUUCUGUGGUACAGCUUAUAGAAACAAAGGUGUUCAGUUAGUAAUAGAUGCAGUUUUAGAUUACUUACCAGCACCAACUGAUAUACCAGCUAUAAAAGGUAUAUUAGCAGAUGGAGAAGAAGCUGAAAGACAUUCUUCUGAUGAAGAGCCAUUCUCUGCAUUAGCAUUCAAAAUAAUGACUGACCCAUUCGUUGGAAAACUAGCGUUCUUCAGAGUUUAUUCUGGAACAUUAGAAUCAGGUUCUUAUGUUUUAAAUGCAACUAAGAAUAAGAGAGAAAGAAUUGGUCGUAUAUUACAAAUGCAUGCUAAUACAAGAGAAGAAAUAACUAAAGUGUAUGCUGGAGAUAUAGCAGCAGCAGUAGGAUUAAAAGAUACUACUACUGGAGACACAUUAUGUGACCCUGCUAAUCCAAUAAUACUUGAAUCUAUGGAAUUCCCUGAGCCAGUUAUAUCUGUUGCUAUAGAACCAAGUUCUAAAGCAGCUCAAGAAAAAAUGGGUAUAGCUCUUCAAAAAUUAGCUGAAGAAGACCCAACUUUCACAGUUAAGACUGACCAAGAAACAGGACAAACUAUAAUAUCUGGUAUGGGUGAAUUACACUUAGAGAUAAUAGUAGAUAGAUUAUUAAGAGAAUUUAAAGUAGAAGCUAAAGUUGGUGCACCACAAGUUGCAUAUAGAGAGACUAUAACUCAACCAGUUGAUGUUGAAUACAAGUACUCUAAGCAAUCAGGUGGUAGAGGACAAUACGGUCACGUUAAGAUUAGAGUUGCUCCUCAAGAGCCAGGUGAAGGAUACAAAUUCACAAACAAAACUGUUGGUGGAUCAGUACCAAAAGAAUAUGUUGGUCCAGUUGACAUGGGUAUACAAGGAGCUAUGCAAUCUGGUAUAGUUGCUGGAUAUCCAGUUGUAGACGUUGCUGUUGAGUUAUAUGAUGGUUCUUACCAUGAGGUUGACUCUUCUGAGAUGGCGUUUAAGAUGGCUGGUUCAAUGGCAUUCAAAGAUGCUAUGAAGAAAGGUAAUGCAGUUCUUUUAGAGCCUUACUUCAAAGUAGAAGUUGUUACUCCAGAAGAUUACAUGGGAGAUGUUAUGGGUGACUUAAACUCAAGAAGAGGAUUAAUCCAAGGUAUGGAAGCUAGAAGUGGUGCACAAGUUAUAAAUGCAUUCGUUCCACUUUCAGAAAUGUUUGGAUACUCAACAGACCUAAGAUCUUCAACUCAAGGUCGUGCAACUUACACAAUGAUAUUCGAUCACUAUGAGCAAGUUCCAGCUUCAGUUGCUAAGAAAAUAGCUGAAGGAAAAUAAUUUAAAAAUAAUUAAUAAUAUAAAUAUAAAAAAUAAUCAGCUAGAUGAGAGAUAUCUCUCAUCUAGCACAAGAUAAAGGGAGGAAAUUCAAAAUGGCUAAAGCUAAAUACGAAAGAACAAAACCUCAUGUUAAUAUAGGGACAAUAGGACACGUAGACCACGGUAAAACUACAUUAACAGCAGCAAUAACAAAAACAUUAUAUGACAGAUAUCAAUUAGGAGAAGCAGUAGAUUUCGCAAACAUAGAUAAAGCUCCAGAAGAAAGAGAAAGAGGAAUCACAAUAUCAACAGCACACGUUGAGUAUGAAACACCAAAUAGACACUAUGCACACGUUGACUGCCCAGGACAUGCUGACUACGUUAAGAACAUGAUAACAGGAGCAGCACAAAU
rnacentral:rRNA from 1 species